GCCUUCGUGGUGUAGUGGUCAGCACACUGAUCGUGUAACUGAGAGGUCCAUGGUUCGAUUCCAGACGAAGGCG
rnacentral:tRNA from 1 species